GACGGGGACCCGCGCAAGCAGCGGAGCGUGUGGUUUAAUUCGUUGCUACACGAAGAACCUUACCUGGGUUUGACAUAUAGGUUGUAGGGAACUGAAAGGGACCGACCUUCGGGGAGCCUAUACAGGUGUUGCAUGGCUGUCGUCAGCUCGUGUCGUGAGAUGUUCGGUUAAGUCCGCUAACGAGCGCAACCCUCGUCGUAUGUUAUAUGUGUCAUACGAGACUGCCGGUAAAAAGCCGGAGGAAGGUGAGGAUGAUGUCAAGUCAGCAUGACCUUUAUAUCCAGGGCUACACACACGCUACAAUGGUCUGUACAAUGGGUAGCCAAGCCGCGAGGCGGAGCCAAUCCUGAAAGCAGGCCUCAGUUCAGAUUGCAGUCUGCAACCCGCCUGCAUGAAGUUGGAGUUGCUAGUAAACGCAGGUCAGCCAUACUGCGUUGAAUACGUUCCCGGGGCUU
rnacentral:rRNA from 1 species